UACAUGUGGGGCAAGCGUUGUUCGGAAUUACUGGGCGUAAAGGGUGCGUAGGCGGCAUGCCAAGUCAGGGGUGAAAGGUUUCGGCCCAACCGGGACAGUGCCUUUGAUACUGGCGUGCUUGAGUGCGUGAGGGGUGACUGGAACGAGUGGUGUAGCGGUGAAAUGCGUAGAUAUCACUCGGAAGGCCAACGGCGAAGGCAGGUCACUGGUACGCAACUGACGCUGAGGCACGAAAGCGUGGGGAGCAAACAGG
rnacentral:rRNA from 1 species